UACGGAGGAUGCGAGCGUUAUCCGGAUUUAUUGGGUUUAAAGGGUGCGUAGGCGGGCUUUUAAGUCAGCGGUAAAAAUUCGGGGCUCAACCCCGUCCGGCCGUUGAAACUGGGGGUCUUGAGUGGGCGAGAAGAAGGCGGAAUGCGUGGUGUAGCGGUGAAAUGCAUAGAUAUCACGCAGAACUCCGAUUGCGAAGGCAGCGUACCGGCGCCCAACUGACGCUGAAGCACGAAGGCGUGGGUAUCGAACAGG
rnacentral:rRNA from 1 species